ensembl:misc_RNA
UUGACUGCCGUGGAGAUAUAACCCCUCUAUCCACAGAACAAGGUACAGCAUGGGUAAUAGCAGCAUAAGACCACCUGAGCCACACUGCCAGUGAGCCUCAGCCCCUAUCUGGAAAGAGCACUCGCAGGAGUGAGAGGAGAGUUCAGUUUCCAUGGCCCAUUCAUUCUGGUGCCUCU